GGUUCAAUAGCUCAGUAGCUAAACAUGAGACUCUUAAUCUCAGGGUUGUGGGUUCAAGCCUCAUGUUGGGCAU